rnacentral:rRNA from 1 species
GCACGAUGAAAGGGCUNUUCGGGUCCUCGAGUAAACGUGGCGCACGGUGUGAGUAACACGUGACUAACCUACCCUCGAGUGGGGAAUAACCUAGGGAAACCUGGGCUAAUACCGCAUAACACUUACGAGUCAAAGCAGCAAUGCGCUUGGGGAGGGGGUCGCGGCAGAUUAGCUAGUUGGUGGGGUAAUGGCCUACCAAGGCGAUGAUCUGUAUCCGGCCUGAGAGGGCGCACGGACACACUGGAACUGAAACACGGUCCAGACUCCUACGGGAGGCAGCAGUGGGGAAUUUUGCGCAAUGGGGGAAACCCUGACGCAGCAACGCCGCGUGGAGGAUGAAGUCUCUUGGGACGUAAACUCCUUUCGAUCGGGACGAUAAUGACGGUUACGAUAUAACAAGCCCCGGCUAACUUCGUG